rnacentral:piRNA from 1 species
CUGCAUUUUGAAGGCUGAAACAGAAG